GAGUUUGAUCCUGGCUCAAAAUGAACGCUGGCGGCAUGCCUAACACAUGCAAGUCGAACGGAAACGAUGGGAGCUUGCUCCCAGGCGUCGAGUGGCGGACGGGUGAGUAAUACAUAGGAAUCUGCCCAGUAGCGGGGGACAACUUGGGGAAACUCAAGCUAAUACCGCAUACGCCCUACGGGGGAAAGCAGGGGAUCUUCGGACCUUGCACUAUUGGAUGAGCCUAUGUCAGAUUAGCUUGUUGGUGGGGUAACGGCCUACCAAGGCAACGAUCUGUAGCUGGUCUGAGAGGACGAUCAGCCACACUGGGACUGAGACACGGCCCACACUCCUACGGGAGGCAGCGGUGGGGAAUAUUGCCCCAUGGGGGAACCCUUGUUUCAUCAAUGCCGCGUGUGUGAACAAGGCGUG
rnacentral:rRNA from 1 species